rnacentral:lncRNA from 1 species
UGAUCUGCAAACAGCAACCACUUUUUAUGUUGCUUUUUGGUCAUAGAACUGGUGUUUGUAAGAAAAAUUAUUCAUCAAAGUCUAUGUGAUUGGCAGAAUUUUCCUAUUUUAGACCAGAGGGGUUGUUCUGAUGAUAAGCAAUUCCCACUUUCAACCGAGAAGUUGUGAGUUCAAGUCUCCCAAAAAGCAAGGUAGGAAGUUCUUGAAGGGAAGUAUGUCGGGGGUCUAUUUGGAAACAGCCUCUCUACCCAAGGGUAGGGGUAAGGUAUGCGUACACACUAUCCUCCCCAAACCCCACUACGUGGGAUUAUACAGCGUUGUUGUUGUAAUUUUCCUAUUUUAAGAUUUUAAAAUUAAACUAGAAUGUUAAGCAUAAAUAAUGGCAUUCGAAGGAUUUAUGAUGUUCUUAAAAGAUGAAGAAGAAGGAGCUGAAGAGGCAAAGACUUAAAUAACUUGCACAUUAUAACUUGCACAUUAUACUCGUUCUUAUCUUACCAUAGGGGUUUAUAUGUCAAGAGUAUAUAUAACGAGUAGAUUAAGAAUUAGAUUGAGAUGAUGAAUCAUACCAAGCAAUGCGAGAAUAAGAACAAGUGCUGUUGUGUAAUAG